rnacentral:rRNA from 1 species
UACUAGAGUAGCACUCGCAUAUCAAUAAGCGGAGGAAAAGAAACUAACAAGGAUUCCCCUAGUAACGGCGAGUGAAGCGGGAAGAGCUCAAAUUUGAAAUCUUAAAGGGUUUCCCUUUACGAAUUGUAGUUUAAAGAAGUGUUUUCUGUUGAGGUUUUGGUAAAAGUUCUUUGGAAUAGGACAUCAUAGAGGGUGAGAAUCCCGUAUUUGACCUUUACUUUCAACUUUGUGAUACACUUUCAAAGAGUCGGAUUGUUUGGGAAUGCAGUCCAGAAUGGGUGGUAAAUUUCAUCUAAAGCUAAAUAUUGGCGAGAGACCGAUAGCGAACAAGUACCGUGAGGGAAAGAUGAAAAGAACUUUGAAAAGAGAGUUAAACAGUACGUGAAAUUGUCAAAAGGGAAGCGUUUGACACCAGUGUUGUUUUUCUGAAAAUCAAUUAAAGAACUGUUUAUGCUAAGCUGUUUAGACUUUAUCAGCUAUCUGUUUAGUUUUAGGCUUUUCUUUAAUGCACUUUUCAGUUAACAAGUCAACAUCAAUUUCUUUUGCUGUAAAAAAGCUUGAGGAAGGUGGCUUGAGAUUCGUCUUAAGUGUUUAUAGCCUCUUGCCUAUGCAGUCGGAGAGAUUGAGGUCUGCAGCGUAGAUCCUUCGGGGCUAAAUGCAUUUGUGCUAAGUUAUAGCAUUUUAUAGACAACUUGUUGACUAUGAUUUGUCUUGUAGCUUACUCGCUUAUGUUAUUUUACCUACGCUUAGGAUGUUGAGCGCAUGUCUCUCUCU